rnacentral:rRNA from 1 species
CACGUAGGGUGCGAGCGUUGUCCGGAAUUAUUGGGCGUAAAGAGCUCGUAGGCGGUGUGUCGCGUCGGCCGUGAAAACCUGCAGCUUAACUGUGGGCUUGCGGUCGAUACGGGCAUCACUGGAGUUCGGCAGGGGAGACUGGAAUUCCUGGUGUAGCGGUGAAAUGCGUUGAUAUCAGGAGGAACUCCAAUGGCGAAGGCAGGUUACUGGGCCUUAUCUGACGCUGAGGCGCGAAAGCGUGGGUAGCAAACAGG